rnacentral:rRNA from 1 species
GACGAACGCUGGCGGCGUGCCUAAUACAUGCAAGUAGAACGCUGGAGGAGGAGCUUGCUCUUCUGGAUGAGUUGCGAACGGGUGAGUAACGCGUAGGUAACCUGCCUGGUAGCGGGGGAUAACUAUUGGAAACGAUAGCUAAUACCGCAUAACAGUAGAUGUUGCAUGACAUUUACUUAAAAGGUGCAAUUGCAUCACUACCAGAUGGACCUGCGUUGUAUUAGCUAGUUGGUGGGGUAACGGCUCACCAAGGCGACGAUACAUAGCCGACCUGAGAGGGUGAUCGGCCACACUGGGACUGAGACACGGCCCAGACUCCUACGGGAGGCAGCAGUAGGGAAUCUUCGGCAAUGGACGGAAGUCUGACCGAGCAACGCCGCGUGAGUGAAGAAGGUUUUCGGAUCGUAAAGCUCUGUUGUAAGAGAAGAACGAGCGUGAGAGUGGAAAGUUCACACUGUGACGGUAUCUUACCAGAAAGGGACGGCUAACUACGUG